ACUCCUACGGGAGGCAGCAGUGGGGAAUAUUGCACAAUGGGCGAAAGCCUGAUGUAGCAACGCCGCGUGAGUGAUGAAGGCCUUCGGGUUGUAAAGCUCUGUCUUUGGGGACGAUAAUGACGGUACCCAAGGAGGAAGCCACGGCUAACUACGUGCCAGCAGCCGCGGUAAUACGUAGGUGGCAAGCGUUGUCCGGAUUUACUGGGCGUAAAGGAUGCGUAGGUGGAUAUGCAAGUCAGAUGUGAAAUACCCGGGCUUAACUCGGGUGCUGCAUUUGAAACUAUAUAUCUAGAGUGCAGGAGAGGUAAGUGGAAUUCCUAGUGUAGCGGUGAAAUGCGUAGAGAUUAGGAAGAACACCAGUGGCGAAGGCGACUUACUGGACUGUAACUGACACUGAGGCAUGAAAGCGUGGGGAGCAAACAGGAUUAGAUACCCUGGUAGUCCACGCCGUAAACGAUGGGUACUAGGUGUAGGGGGUAUCGACUCCCUCUGUGCCGCAGUUAACACAAUAAGUACCCCGCC
rnacentral:rRNA from 1 species